AAGGGACCUAGCGUAGUUCGGAAUUACUGGGCUUAAAGAGUUCGUAGGUGGUUGAAAAAGUUGGUGGUGAAAUCCCAGAGCUUAACUCUGGAACUGCCAUCAAAACUUUUCAGCUAGAGUAUGAUAGAGGAAAGCAGAAUUUCUAGUGUAGAGGUGAAAUUCGUAGAUAUUAGAAAGAAUACCAAUUGCGAAGGCAGCUUUCUGGAUCAUUACUGACACUGAGGAACGAAAGCAUGGGUAGCGAAGAGGAUUAGAUACCCUCGUAGUCCAUGCCGUAAACGAUGUGUGUUAGACGUUGGAAAUUUAUUUUCAGUGUCGCAGGGAAACCGAUAAACACACCGCCUGGGGAGUACGACCGCAAGGUUAAAACUCAAAUGAAUUGACGGGGACCCGCACAAGUAGUGGAGCAUGUGGUUUAAUUCGAAGAUACGCGCAGAACCUUACCAACACUUGACAUGUUCGUCGCGACUCUAAGAGAUUAGAGUUUUCGGUUCGGCCGGACGAAACACAGGUGCUGCAUGGCUGUCGUCAGCUCGUGUCGUGAGAUGUUGGGUUAAGUCCCGCAACGAGCGCAACCCUCACUUUUAGUUGCCAUCGUUAAGUUGGGCACUCUGAAAGAACUGCCAGUGAUAAGCUGGAGGAAGGUGGGGAUGACGUCAAGUCCUCAUGGCCCUUACGUGUUGGGCUACACACGUGCUACAAUGGCAUCUACAACAGGAAGCAAAGCGGCAACGUUAAGCAAAUCCCGAAAAGAUGCCUCAGUUCGGAUUGCACUCUGCAACUCGAGUGCAUGAAGCUGGAAUUACUAGUAAUCGUGGAUCAGCGUGCCACGGUGAAUGCGUUCCCGGGUCUUGUACACACCGCCCGUCACACCAUGGGAGUUGGUUCUACCUUAAGGCAAGGUUUUAAACCCUUGACCACGGUAUAGUCAGCGACUGGGGUGAAGUCGUAACAAGGUAGCCGUAGGGGAACCUGCGGCUGGAUUACCUCCUUUCUAAGGAUGAGUGAAAGUAAAAUUUCACUCUAAAUAAUAUACAUCGGUAAUGUUGACCGUCCUCAUUUCUCUUCUUAAAGUAAUGUUUCCUUCUUGUAGGGCCGGUAGCUCAGUUGGUUGGAGCACACCCUUGAUAAGGGUGGGGUCGAAAGUCCGAGUCUUUCUCGGCCCACCAAAAACCUAAAUGGGGGAUUAGCUCAUCUGGGAGAGCGCCUGAUUUGCAUUCAGGAGGUAGCAGGUUCGAUCCCUGUAUCCUCCACCAGGAAACAUUUAGUUAUUAAAACUGUAAAUAAAAAUAAUUUAUAUCAAUAUCUAUAUCCGAACAUUAAAAGUUAUUAUUUAAUGUUCAAAAUAAAAAUUUGAUCACAACAUAGAUUAAUUUUCUGUUAAAAGAAUUUUUUUCUGUGCAUAAAUCAAGCGUUUAAGGGCGUGUAGUGGAUGCCUUGGCACUGAAAGCCGAUGAAGGACGUGAUAUACUGCGAUAAGUUUCGGGGAGCUGUAUGUAAGCUUUGAUCCGAAAAUUU
rnacentral:sRNA from 1 species